GACGAACGCUGGCGGCGUGCUUAACACAUGCAAGUCGAACGCUGAAGCUCAGCUUUUGUUGGGUGGAUGAGUGGCGAACGGGUGAGUAACACGUGAGUAACCUGCCUCCUUCUUUGGGAUAACGCCCGGAAACGGGUGCUAAUACUGGAUAUUCACUGGUCUUCGCAUGGGGGUUGGUGGAAAGGGUUUUUCUGGUGGGGGAUGGGCUCGCGGCCUAUCAGCUUGUUGGUGGGGUGAUGGCCUACCAAGGCUUUGACGGGUAGCCGGCCUGGGAGGGUGACCGGUCAGAUUGGGACGGAGAUACGGCCCAGACUCCUACGGGAGGCAGCAGUGGGGAAUAUUGCACAAUGGGCGCAAGCCUGAUGCAGCGACGCCGCGUGAGGGAUGGAGGCCUUGGUGUUGGGAACCUCUUUCGCUCAUGGUCAAGCCGCAACAAUGGUUGUGGUGAGGGUAGUGGGUAAAGAAGCGCCGGCUAACUACGUG
rnacentral:rRNA from 1 species